CUAAGGAGCAAAGCAAAGUUUACCCCUUGAUUGUUUUUAUUGUUGUGGGGUGCUCAGGUGGCAAUGUUUUUGUUGGGUGCUUGGGUUGUUUUUGUUUUGUGUUUUUAGUUUAUUUUUUGGGUGGAUACAUCAUGAAACUUACUUACCCCUUGUUGUUUUUCUGGCAUGUUGUGUGCUGGUAGGGGGUGGGUGUGGAUACACUGUUUGGUUUAGGAUCAAUGAGCUUUAUUGUUGGUUGGUUUGUUUACUGCAUUACAUUAACAUGCCUUUUAGCUUUAUGUGGUUAGGGGUGUGUUUGUUUUGUUAGUGGGUUGUUUGUGAACUGUAUAGUGAACGCGAGCAUCAAUGUAAUUUUGUUGUUUGUAUAAUAAAUUUUUUUUGGUCUCAUUUUGUU
rnacentral:misc_RNA from 1 species